rnacentral:rRNA from 1 species
AUUGAACGCUGGCGGCAGGCCUAACACAUGCAAGUCGGGCGAGCCGCGGACGGGAGAGUAAUGUAUGGGGAUCUGCCUGAUGGCGGGGGAUACCUACUGGAAACGGUAGCUAAUACCGCAUACCCUCACAUGAACCCGUAUUGUAUUAGCUAGUGGGUAAGGUAACGGAUUACGUGGGCGACGAUCCCUAGCUGGUCUGAGAGGAUGAGCAGCCACAUUGGGACUGAGAUACGGCCCAGACCCCUACGGGAGGCAGCAGUGGGGAAGAGUGCACAAUGGGCGAAAGCCUGAUUCAGCCAUGCAGCGUGUAUGAAGAAGGCCUUCGGGUUGUAAAGUACUUUCAGGCGGGAGGCGUUACCGACAGAAGAAGCACCGGCUAACUCCGUGCCAGCAGCCGCGGUAAUAC